CAUUUCCUCUCCAACGCGACCAGCCGGUCUUGCAUCUCCGUCGCCCACCUCUAGAAAGAUAUCCUCCUCCCCAUCCAUGAGCAUCUGCAAGAGGCAUAGCAGGGCACGCUCUACAGGUGAGGCACUGGCUCCGUGAGAUCGGUCGACCGCCCGUGGUGUUGCCGUAUAUGAAGUAUGGAGAUGUCAUGGGUGUAGAGUAUGGCUGCCGGAGAAGCCGGGAAGGUCGACUGGAGGAGAAGGAGCACGGGGCUACGGUGAUCUGCUGUGGGGGUUGCACUAGGAUUUGCGAGGGGAGAAGGAGGGGACAUCUGGGAAGGUACAACAUGAAGCAUGGCAUGACGGCUUCCAAGGUGCCCAAGCCAUGGAGCUCUCCAAGAAGCUUCUCUCUUUCGCCGGCGCCAUGGCCGUUCGCGGGGGCCGUGUGCUCUAUGUCGGCUCCUUCGACUCCCUCAAGGUUUCCGUUCGAUUUUCUGCCCCCGCCCCUCUAGAGAUUAUAUGUGUAGUUCAUUUUGUUUUAUUCUACUGUGCGGUAAUCAAUUUCUCGAAACUACUUGUUGUGUUGCUGAAACUGCAAGCAAUUUUUUUUGUCCCUUGAGUCUUGCUCAAAAUUGAUUGUGGGGUGCCAAGUAAGGAAUUCAAGGGCCGCGCAUAUGGGCUAAAUCUUAGUGGGAAUAUGGUGCUCCCAGGAUUCAUGGACUCCCAUGUCCACCUAGUGGCCCGCAGGAAUAAACAUACGUAUAUGAUGAUCCUUUUGAUGAUCGUCCUCAGCUUGCUGAACUUAUCCCUGAGAAUUCUCCAUUAGGAAAGCCACAUGAUGAGAUAAGAGUUAUGCCAUUGUUCUUCAUUUCAGCAAAAUUUGAGUAUGAAUGUACAUGUUUCAGUGUCAUCCUUCACCAUAUAAAAUAUGGUGAUGUUCUCAGUGUCAUCUUUUGCCUUCUCGAUGUGAAUAUGUCAUGGUCUUUUUCCUGAAAUUACAGUUGCAAUAUUAUUAGAGUUGUGUAAAUUUAAUCUCACGGUAUACUGCUUUGGGGACUUUUUAACUAUUUUGAAGUUGGUAACAGACCCCUUUUCAGGUCAUUCUAUGCUAUGAAUGUUAGUAUGGAUACCAGUAUCUUGAUUGCUUAUUUUUUUAAUUUUCUUUUAAGGCUUUAGAAUGCUGCACCAGUUAUUCAACUUUAACUUCACCUUAUUUCCUUGGAUUGUAGGUGUUGUCAAAAGGCAAACUGUUUCUCAUAUAGGCAAUGAUGAUGAAGUGCCAAUAUCAAGAAGAAAGCGACCUGUCCGAGAGAGGUUAGGAAAUAAUGUGUCUGAUUCUGAUUCGUAUGGAAGUCAACAGAGUAAUAAAGGGUAUAUAUGUUUCAUCUAUAUUACUCAUGGAAAAUUCUGGGAUGAAGUAUGUACCAUUCUCUUAAAUAUUUCAUUAAUGCAUGGGUAUAAACUGAACAUUGUAUAUUGUGAUCUAUGGAGGAAAAAACACCAAAUGCACAUAGAUGAGAAAUCUUACCUUAUUCCGUUGGCAAUUUUUGUAACAAAUUACUCGUCCAGGUUAUCUAUUUCAAGAACAGACAUAUGGAUAAUUCAAGAACAGACAUAGGUAUGUUGAAUGAGUUUUCCUGUCGGGCAAUUCAAAGGAUGUAAGGGCCAUAUGGAAACGGCACCAAAGCAACUUUGAAUGACAAAAAUUUGCAAAUAGCAUCUCCAUGUAUGAUUAAUUCAUGCAUUACUAUUGUACCUCAAUCUUUGUAUCAUCACGAACUUUUCUCUCAAUCGCCAAGCCAGUUGGAUAGUGGUGAUCACCUCACACUCUAGCUACCUAUUAGCUUAAGGACAGAGACUCUAAAAGAUGAUCGGAUGGAGUAUGCAUAUCUGCCAAGUAAGUCCUCUUCGGACCCUUCCACCUCGCUGGCCUCACCAUUGGAGACUCGACACAAGAACCGGCGCCGCCACUGUGUGUCUGCUGGUGACGCUCACACAAGAAUCCAGAGGCAGAACCUUGGUCCUCUCCCCGCGAACACCAGCUCUAUGAUGAUGCGGCCGCGCCCUGUGGGCGGCAUGACUGACACCACCGUCCAUGCCAUGUUUUGGCUGAUCCCCCAAGGCUCCUUGCCGAUGUCCAACCAGCACCGCGCAACCAAUGGUCCUGCCGCCAUGACGAUGCCCACCUAUGUGCUGGUCUAGAUUUUUGACCUGCCUGCAAUGGACAAGGUCAUACGGGCAUCUGCUUUUGAUGUGCUGUGUGCUCUCUUUUCACAAGUGUAGCAACAUGAUCAUCGUGUUGUAGAAACUAUGCUAUAGUUGUUCUUCGUAGAUGUUUCCCUACUUGUGUACUAAUAAAUAGAUCUGAGAUAGUUAGAAGUCACUCACUAUAGUCGAUCUGAACUACUUUGUGUCAGCGAUCGUUGAUUAUAAGUAUUUGUAUGAUACUUAUAUAUUAUCAUAUCUGAACUAA